GUGACAAACCAUUACCCUCGAUGUUCUGUAUCAGUCUGAAUCAAUGUCGCAUGAACUUGUCAUAUUGUCAAGUAAGAUCAAAUGCUCAAGUCUAACUGUAAGCCUAGUAUUACAUAUUACUGGCACUGCCAUUAGCGUGCAAGAGACAGUAAAGAGACCUAUGCAAUGCAAAUCAAUGGAAAAUGCAGCAUUGUCUUCGCCCACGCCGUGAGCAUGGCCUAAUUGCGCUCUGUCUCUACCUGAUUAAAAGGAAAGGAAGGGAAGUGAUGUUUACCUGUUCAUUGACCGCAUGGACAAGAGAGCAGUCGGCGUUUAGUUGCCGUGGUUACGCAGAAUUAGCAGGGCUUCAGCAAACAUUGGAUGUACCGUUCUUUUGUGGAUUAUACCUUAAAAAAACUCACUUGAUUACUGCAAGUCGAAGACCCCCUUUUCUAAACGGGACGAAGUGGCAUUUUUGUAAGCCCAAACAGAUAUCAGAUCUGCCCAGCUUUCUUUUCCGUUCAUGGUUUUCCUUUCCGUUAAGACUUUCCAUGACCACAAAUGCUCUGUAACCGCUCACCGUAUGGAUCAGGUAAACCCUAGCCAGUUUAAUUUGGCUACUAACAGCAUAUGGAAACUCCUCAAUAUUGUUUGAUUCCUGUAUAUAGUUCACCAUGUGUCUUAAAUUCUUUGUUCAUCACAAGGCUCUGGAAAUAGUUCCAAUAAUUUGCGUUUUCAGAUUCCUCCGGAUUAGUGUGGACACAGCGUUAUAGUUUCACUGUGUGAAUAGCGUCAACACUUUUGCAAGUAAUAGUGUGUGCAUGACAUUCUCAUGUGCUGAGAGGGCGGAGGGCUGAGCUCCCUUAAGGGUCUGAUCAUAGAAUCACUCGAUCCUGGGUUAGACCCAUGGCAUGCGUUGCGUUUUGAAGUGAGGAAUCGUUCGUCCCACAGCAGGUAGUUCUUCUCCUUUAUCCAAUAACCACUGUUUACUCGCGAUCCAGCCUGAAUGGUAUAUUAAGUCAAAUUUACUUCAAUAUUGCGAAAAGUGUAUUUAACUGGCUGGCUAAGGUCAGCGGAACAGCUAACAUUUUGGUUUUUUUUUUUUUUAAGAAAAUGAUGGAAAUACCAUUUGUUUUUGUCCGGAAUGGAAGAAAUAAUUUACAGAUUAAUCGAUUAUCAAUUUUUGUUAGUUGCAGACCCACAUGAAUCGCCUCCAUGAAAGGUAUGUACCUACGUAAAUCCAUGUGCUGAUGUGUAUACUGUAUGUAUCUGCAUGUCCCCAAAUUGUUUGUUUUACGUUUGUAGCUCAAAUGAAUUAAUCCCAUACUCUAUAAACCAGUUAUAGACAGUUCCUUUAGAGGGCGCACUUCCGAAAAAAAGCAGCACAGUAUACAUACAGGAGUCAUUCAAUCGAUCCAGUCAAUUUCUAUUUCAUAAUUCACAAUAACUCUGUGUUAGAGCAACGUGUAGAGUAACUUUUCCCACGUCUGCAUUUGUUGAGCGACACUCCGGUGAGUUGUUUCUUUUCUUGUGCUAUGCUAGAAAAUUCGCUAGUCAUGCAUGCAUGUAUAGGUAUGCUAGUGUAACAGAUCCUUUUGAAUGUGUAGUUCGAUACCCUGCUCUCAAUGUUACACUGUAUGUGAAUUUUUUUUGUCAUGAAAAAAUGCAGAUUUUUUAAAAUGUACGCUGCAGUGUGAAUUUAUGUGAGGAGAUCCUGUCGUCAGGCGCCUUCCAUCAGCUAAGAGACUCAGGCAGCUAGUGCAUUGCUACUUUAUCUUUUUUUUCCCCACACACAACCACACAUUUCCGCAUAUACUUGGACUUGUGCCUACAGCAAAGAAGCCUACCCGGGUAGCAACUGUGGGACAGAAAAGAGUUAUUCUUUUGUAUUUAUUUAUUUAUUUGUUUGUUGGUGUUUGUUCCCUGAGGCCUCAUUGUCAGUUCUGUUACCUGUUAUGCAAUUCAUGCUUAGAAGUGAAUAUAUAUCUUUUCCUUUAAUACAUACUUACCUGUUUUCUACCAAACCAUAUUCUUGUUGUGCUUUUCUGCCCGCUUACUAUCCUCCUUCCCGAACCUAGAGACGUGGUUUUAACUGUGCUGUGCCCGUAGUUGAGUUAUCAAUUAGAGAAGAGACCACCACAUUACAUGUUGUUUAUCAUUUAUUUCAUGUAUAUAGUUAGAUUUAUUCCUGUUUUUGAUGGAAAGGACAUGGAUGGCAUCCUCUUCAAGGCAGUGCAGGACAUCAAAGUGGAUACGGGUCUGAAGCUUGACUAUGGCGUCAACAGGAAGACCUUCCAAGGAAUGGGCCUGGGCCUGGACCCGGGCUGGCCGCAUGAUCAUGACCACUGGUCCGUCCCAUGUGCAUGGGGUAAAAUGUUAUCCGGAGGCCUACAAUCCUACAGAUCCUACCGCAGUGUGGUUAUGUCGUCAGGCUGAUGUGCCCAGCCAGGAGGAGGAGGCGCUGACCUACUCCAAGAGGAAAUACUGGAGUGGGCAGAGACGCAGGCGGAGCUCCACCUCCACCAGCCAGAGCGUGUUCGGCCGUGAGGAGAGUUAGCGCAAGCUGUCUCCCCGGGGGGCCCAGCUCCGGUUCGGCCAGGAAGGGCCAGAGGGCGAAGGUGGCUGUCGGUCCCUCGGAGAACUCCACUCUCUCAAAGCACCGAUGGAAGGCGUGUCGCUGGGGCCCGAGACAGAGCCCGGCUCCCGCUGGGCUCGCUCCCCCUGCGAAGCAGAGCGCCGUGACCAGCUACGGCACGCUUUACGGCUUUGUCCCGCGUCACCGCCGAAGUGGUGGAGUUCCACAACUUUUAAUCUACAAAAAUAGACUCAGGGGGUGCUGUGUAUUUGAACUACUAUGAACUGCAUAUUAUAAAGUGCUAUUUUAAAUUAUUUCAAUCACGUCCUUAAAAAUAUACGCAAGAAUACAAGAAAUAGUUAGGGGACAUACAGAUAUAUAUGGUUUCUUUUCACAGAUGAAAUAAUGAGAAAUUAAUGACACAUAUUUAUUACUUUGUCUCAUAUUCAUUUCAGUAGCUUCAUUGUUCACAAAAGCUUCCCUUGUCUUUUUUGUGUAGGUCCAGGAGGAGGAGGCGGUAUUUCUGUGUAUAGUUCACCCUGUGUCUUAUUCUUUGGACAUCACUUUCCCAUUUGUUAUUGAAUUAGGGAAUGUGUGACAGAGAGCUCUGUCUAAGGCCUCGAGUGGCAUCCUUUUCCCCACCUUACCCCAUAGUUCCACAGCAUUCAUUCAUUCAUUCGUGUUUGUGACCCGUUGCCGGUACAUCUUUACAUACAUAUCACUAACGCACAUUUCACUAAAAUAUCGCGCUAGCUUCGAGGGUACACACUCGAAGCAAGCAGCAGAUUACCCGGUUUCAUGCACACAAACAUUUCCAAUUCGCGUUAUCGUUUCGGCUGUCGUUGUCUUUACCGUUACCGUCUUUAUCAUGUUUGUUCCCGUCUGUAUUGUACUCAGCGCUUGGUUUAAAUGUCUUUUUGUGUUCGUGUUCAUUGUCUUGUCUCCCUCCAUGGUAUCCUCUCUCCAUGUGUUUGUUAGUCUGUGCCAUAGCAGGGUACAACUACCGGUGCAGGAGAGGACCAAACCGAGCUGGAGCAACACGGACUAGUUUAUUAUUACUACUUGUUUAUCAUUUAUUUACUGUAUAUAGUUACAUUUCUUCUUCGUGUUUUUGUAACUCCUUGUUGUUCAUUGUUCUAUUGAAAGGAAAGGACACCAUGGAAAGAGCUCCUCUUUUUAUGCCCUCCCCCCCCCUGUGAACUGUUCCUCACAAGGCUUUACAUGACCCACUCCAUGCAGAGCAAGAUGAAAGAGGCGGGCCUGUGUGAGAAGUCUCAUGAUGAUGCCAAGCUCCUUGUGGACUUUAAAAAGUACACAGGGCACAGAGACCUGAGAUUAACUGACCAGCCUACAGCACACAGACAUGAGUGCUCCCCCUGUUCUUAACUGCAAAAAGAAUGUCAUCAGGUUCUUAGAUUGCCUGAAGACAAGGCUGAAUCUGGAACAGACAGACUCACAGCUCCGUUCCAAGUCCAGUCAUUCAAGGAGAUGCUGCUGACCCUGCGGAAGCCGGUUCCAAAGGCCUGUUCACAGGCGGUGUGUAAAACCAGAUGCUGAAGGACCUAAAAAGGUGACAAAGUUUCACUGAUGUCUAUACUGAGUUUAUCAAGGCUGCUGCAGAUUGGACCAAAGAGGAACUACUGCAUCACCCGCCAAGAGCUGCUUGCCGUCAUCCUGGGGCUCCACCACUUCCAGCCCUACGGGGCUCCACAGCACCAGCCAAGGAAACAAAGUCGAGUACGAAACAUUCCUUCAAAGUUGGCACUCGCAUCUCAUUGCAGUUGCCCUACUCCAAGAGAAAAUACUGGAGUGGGCAGAUGCAGGCAGAACUCAGAUGUGAACUCAGCGGCGAGCUCAGCCAGAGGCCAGAAAACUUAAGGGAGAUGUUGGUGCAUUGGGGGAUACCACUCUCUUGGAGCACCAAAGGAAGUCGAGUCACUGGCUCCGGUUCGGCGCCCCCUCAGCUGUUUCACAGAUGUCUAUACUGAGAUCAUCAAGGCAGCUGCAAAUGGGACCGGAGAGGAACUACUGCAUCACCUGUCAAGAGCAAUGGAAACUUUGACUCUAUCAAAAGGUCGAAUGGAUUUCAAGCGAGAGAACCAAGGGCGGCACGGUGGCGCAGCAGGUAGCGCCACCUCA